rnacentral:rRNA from 1 species
AGAGUUUGAUCAUGGCUCAGAAUGAACGCUGGCGGCAUGCCUAACACAUGCAAGUCGAACGAAGGCUUCGGCCUUAGUGGCGCACGGGUGCGUAACGCGUGGGAAUCUGCCCUCAGGUUCGGAAUAACAGCGAGAAAUUGCUGCUAAUACCGGAUGAUAUCGCGAGAUCAAAGAUUUAUCGCCUGAGGAUGAGCCCGCGUAGGAUUAGCUAGUUGGUGUGGUAAAGGCGCACCAAGGCGACGAUCCUUAGCUGGUCUGAGAGGAUGAUCAGCCACACUGGGACUGAGACACGGCCCAGACUCCUACGGGAGGCAGCAGUGGGGAAUAUUGGACAAUGGGCGAAAGCCUGAUCCAGCAAUGCCGCGUGAGUGAUGAAGGCCUUAGGGUUGUAAAGCUCUUUUACCCGGGAUGAUAAUGACAGUACCGGGAGAAUAAGCUCCGGCUAACUCCGUGCCAGCAGCCGCGGUAAUACGGAGGGAGCUAGCGUUAUUCGGAAUUACUGGGCGUAAAGCGCACGUAGGCGGCUUUGUAAGUUAGAGGUGAAAGCCUGGAGCUCAACUCCAGAAUUGCCUUUAAGACUGCAUCGCUUGAAUCCAGGAGAGGUGAGUGGAAUUCCGAGUGUAGAGGUGAAAUUCGUAGAUAUUCGGAAGAACACCAGUGGCGAAGGCGGCUCACUGGACUGGUAUUGACGCUGAGGUGCGAAAGCGUGNGGAGCAAACAGGAUUAGAUACCCUGGUAGUCCACGCCGUANACGAUGAUAACUAGCUGUCGGGGCUCUUAGAGCUUCGGUGG